rnacentral:sRNA from 1 species
AAAAGUGUAAAACGGGCUGCUCAGCACUCCGGAAAACCGUGUUAUCACCAGGGAUGGUCUGAGGACUGACAGAUUUGAGUAUGACAUCAUUGCCC